GGACCAUCUGAAACUUCCUCCCUCUUGAAACUCAUGAACAAUGAGCUGCCUGCCUCCAGAGGGAAUCUCCACCUGCCUCUGGAUGAUACUCUGAGCAGACGUGGAUGGUGCCAUGAGACAUGCAUCAGCGGGGUCAACCGGCAGCUUCACAGCUGGUGUUACCAGGCUGGCUGAUCUUGUGUGGCGAGCUUUAAACUAGGUUCACUGGGGGACAGGGAUGCAGAGAAACACGAGGACACUUCGCUAUCAAGCCAGGUGAUGCGCACAGGUAGUACCCAGAAGUAAGUUAUACAUUGUAAUAAUGUUAACAAGGGCAGGAGUCAAACUGCUGCUUCCCUGUAUCAGGCGGGCCCCUGAAAGAGCGAGUGAAUCAGUGACUGAAUGCGUAACGCAGUAGCAAGCAGCAAAUAACACCUAGGAAAACCACAGAUCAACCAAUGGAAGAAAUCAAUAGAAGACAAUGUAGCAACCGGGACAUCUCUAAACCUCACUGUUCAAAGGCUAGAAGCCCAGGUCUGAGUUAAUGAACGCCGGGGACCAACUUUUGGGAUGAAUAUCUCCAGAUCGACCACUCCCAGAGCCCUAUUCAAAACUCAUCAAUGGACUCCCAAACCUGCACGUACAUGCGGGGGGGCUGCGACCCCUGGGGCUGACAGAUGCCAUCCAGUAGCCACCAAGGGGGAAGUCCCAUGAGGGUCAACAACCCCUGGAUUGAGCAAACCUGAAAACUGGGGAGUCACCAAAGCCUGCCAAGCACAGAUAAAAAGCAGUGAAAAGUGACCCUCAGGGGCGCCCUCUUGAUCUCCAACUUGACCAGCACCCAACCUGUCCAGCCAGAAGGACCAGCCGGCGACCCCCUUCUGGAAGAUAACACCACACUGAAAGAAGCCUCGACGGCAGAUUCCAGCACCUGUGGGAUAGGUAUACCUGACUCUUGUAGCUUGCUACUGUGUGUGUGCAUGAGGGGGGGCAGGACCAGCCCCAAGGUUUAUGAUUGAACUUCAUUACAGUGUUUCAAUCCGCCUAAUAAACCAGAAUUUUAAGGA